GACGAACGCUGGCGGCGUGCUUAACACAUGCAAGUCGAACGGAAAGGCCCUGCUUUUGUGGGGUGCUCGAGUGGCGAACGGGUGAGUAACACGUGAGUAACCUGCCCUUGACUUUGGGAUAACUUCAGGAAACUGGGGCUAAUACCGGAUAGGAGCUCCUGCUGCAUGGUGGGGGUUGGAAAGUUUCGGCGGUUGGGGAUGGACUCGCGGCUUAUCAGCUUGUUGGUGGGGUAGUGGCUUACCAAGGCUUUGACGGGUAGCCGGCCUGAGAGGGUGACCGGCCACAUUGGGACUGAGAUACGGCCCAGACUCGUACGGGAGGCAGCAGUGGGGAAUAUUGCACAAUGGGCGGAAGCCUGAUGCAGCAAUGCCGCGUGCGGGAUGACGGCCUUCGGGUUGUAAACCGCUUUCUCCUGUGACGAAGCGUGAGUGACGGUAAUGGGUAAAGAAGCACCGGCUAACUACGUG
rnacentral:rRNA from 1 species